UACGGGGGGGGGCAAGCGUUGUUCGGAAUUACUGGGCGUAAAGGGCUCGUAGGCGGCCAACUAAGUCAGACGUGAAAUCCCUCGGCUUAACCGGGGAACUGCGUCUGAUACUGGAUGGCUUGAGGUUGGGAGAGGGAUGCGGAAUUCCAGGUGUAGCGGUGAAAUGCGUAGAUAUCUGGAGGAACACCGGUGGCGAAGGCGGCAUCCUGGACCAAUUCUGACGCUGAGGAACGAAAGCUAGGGGAGCAAACAGG
rnacentral:rRNA from 1 species